rnacentral:rRNA from 1 species
AGAGUUUGAUCCUGGCUCAGAACGAACACUGGCGGCGUGGAUUAGGCAUGCAAGUCGAACGAGAAAGUUUCCUUCGGGAGACGAGUACAGUGGCGAACGGGUGAGUAACGCGUGGGAAAUCUGCCCUUUAGUGGAGGAUAACAGUUCUAACGAGCUGCUAAUACCGCUUAAGCUCUCAAGGCCGCAUGACCCGGAGAGGAAAGAUGGCCUCUACAUGUAAGCUGUCGUUGAAGGAUGAUCCCGCGUCCCAUUAGCUAGUUGGUGGGGUAAAAGCCUACCAAGGCGACGAUGGGUAGCCGGCCUGAGAGGGUGUCCGGCCACACUGGGACUGAGAUACGGCCCAGACUCCUACGGGAGGCAGCAGUCGAGAAGCUUCCGCAAUGGGGGAAACCCUGACGGAGCGACGCCGCGUGAGUGAAGAAGGCCCUUUGGGUUGUAAAGCUCUGUCAGAUUGGGAAGAAAACUCUACGGGUAAUAUCCGUAGAGCUUGACGGUACCAUCAGAGGAAGCACCGGCUAACUCCGUGCCAGCAGCCGCGGUAAUACGGAGGGUGCAAGCGUUGUUCGGAUUCACUGGGUAUAUAGGGUGCGCAGGCGGCCCAAUAAGUCAGAGGUGAAAUAUGACGGCUCAACCGUCAAAUGGCCCCUGAAACUGUUGGGCUUGAGUUCGAGAGAGGUAGGUGGAAUUCCAGGUGUAGCGGUGAAAUGCGUAAAUAUCUGGAGGAACACCGGUGGCGAAGGCGGCCUACUGGCUCGAUACUGACGCUCAGGCACGAAAGCAUGGGGAGCGAACGGGAUUAGAUACCCCGGUAGUCCAUGCCGUAAACGAUGGGUACUAGGUGUUGGGGGAGUCUACCCCCUCAGUGCCGCAGCUAACGCAUUAAGUACCCCACCUGGGGAGUACGAUCGCAAGGUUGAAACUCAAAGGAAUUGACGGGGGCCCGCACAAGCGGUGGAGCAUGUGGUUUAAUUCGAUGCAACGCGAAGAACCUUACCUGGGCUUGACAUGCAGGGGACAAGUAUAGAAAUAUACCCUUCUUCGGACUCCUGUACAGGUGCUGCAUGGCUGUCGUCAGCUCGUGUCGUGAAAUGUUGGGUUAAGUCCCGCAACGAGCGCAACCCUUGUCUUUAGUUGCCAUCAGGUAAUGCUGGGGACUCUAGAGAGACUGCCGGUGACAAACCGGAGGAAGGUGGGGACGACGUCAAGUCAUCAUGGCCCUUACGCCCAGGGCUACACACGUGCUACAAUGGUCGGUACAAUGGGCUGCAAUACAGUGAUGUGGAGCGAAUCCCAAAAAGCCGGCCUCAGUUCGGAUCGUAGUCUGCAACUCGACUACGUGAAGUUGGAAUCGCUAGUAAUCGCGUAUCAGAGCGACGCGGUGAAUACGUUCCCGGGCCUUGUACACACCGCCCGUCAAGUCAACCGAGUUGGUUGCACCCCAAGUCGCUGAGCUAACCCGUAAGGGAGGCAAGUGCCCAAGGUGUGAUUGGCGAGGGGGACUAAGUCGAAACAAGGUA